CCCUUAGAUGUUCUGGGCCGCACACGCGCUACACUGAAGGAGGCAGCGUGUACUCCUGGAUCGAAAGAUUUGGGUAACCCGCGAAUCUCCUUCGUGCUAGGGAUUGAGGUUUGCAAUUAUCCUUCAUGAACGAGGAAUUCCCAGUAAGUGCAAGUCAUAAGCUUGCGCUGACUACGUCCCUGCCCUUUGUACACACCGCCGUCGCUACUACCGAUUGAAUGAUUUAGUGAGGACUUCGGACUGGGACCGAUGCGGCUUUCGGGCUGCGUCGGUAUUCUGGAAAGAUGUCCAAACUGUAUCAUUUAGAGGAAGUAAAAGUCGUAACA
rnacentral:rRNA from 1 species